AUUGAACGCUGGCGGCAUGCCUUACACAUGCUAGUCGAACGGUAACGCGGGGCAACCUGGCGACGAGUGGCGAACGGGUGAGUAAUGCAUCGGAACGUGCCUGGUAGUGGGGGAUAACUGCUCGAAAGAGCAGCUAAUACCGCAUACGACCUGAGGGUGAAAGGGGGGGAUCGCAAGACCUCUCGCUAUCAGAGCGGCCGAUGUCGGAUUAGCUAGUUGGUGGGGUAAAGGCCCACCAAGGCAACGAUCCGUAGCUGGUCUGAGAGGACGACCAGCCACACUGGGACUGAGACACGGCCCAGACUCCUACGGGAGGCAGCAGUGGGGAAUUUUGGACAAUGGACGCAAGUCUGAUCCAGCCAUGCCGCGUGCGGGAAGAAGGCCUUCGGGUUGUAAACCGCUUUUGUCAGGGAAGAAAUCUUCUGGGCUAAUACCCUGGGAGGAUGACGGUACCUGAAGAAUAAGCACCGGCUAACUACGUGCCAGCCGCCGCAGUAAAAC
rnacentral:rRNA from 1 species